CUGGCACGGAAGUUUCAGGAAUGAACAGGGGGUGGUUACAAGACUGGCAUAGGAAGGCUCCAAUGAUAAAGAAGAGUCUGAAGGUGCUUUGUCCCUCUGGUUUGAUAUUUAAGAAAUCCAAAUAACCACAAGAAGCAGAGAGGUUUUAUGCUGACUUUGUCCAACUAUUCCUGGCUGGGAAAGCAAUGGAGAAACUUUUCUGCCAGAACUACUCAGACCACUUUUUAAUUCCUAACUCCCAGAUACCCCACCUCCUUCAUCUCUUGUAAAGAACUUGUUUUGUUUGAAAGGCAAAGAGGAAAGAGAAUAAACAAAGAUAAACGCCAUGGUAAGUUGACAACGUUCUGUCAAGAGCAGUGAAAAACCUGUUACCACCUGAGAUGCACAGUCACAAUGCAGCUUUCUACUGAUUUUAUUG